rnacentral:rRNA from 1 species
CCCCUAGACGUUCUGGGCUGCACGCGCGCUACAAUAAUACGCACAGCGAGUAUCACCGAGCUCGAAAGGGCAAGGUAAACAAUAGAAAAGGUACUGUAAUGGUUAUAGAUCCUUGUAAUUAUUGAUCUUCAACGAGGAAUUCCUAGUAAGUAUGUGUCAUCAUCACGCACUGAUUACGUCCCUGCCCUUUGUACACACCGCCCGUCGCUCCUACCGAUUGAGUGGUCCGGUGAAUUAUUCGGACCGGUGGACUGUGGGGAAACCCGCGGCCUGCUGGGAAGUCUUGUGAACCUUAUCACUUAGAGGAAGCAGAAGUCGUAACA